ACCUGCGGCUCCUCCAGCCCCGGCCCGCAGCUGUGGUACCCAAAUCCGGAACAAAACUCCUCGACACCAAUGUGAACUUAAGCAGCAGGCACUUCCUUGAUUGAAUGAAAGAUGUCAAGAGUCAGCUGAGUUGGAAGAGGUGUUAACUGGGGUCAAAAUACAGAUUUUAAUACCCCUCUGAUUUUAGUUCUAAGACUUGGCCAUUGCCAGGUAUCAUCUUUUCCAUUUACCCAGGUUCACCAGCGAGGCUACAAGGGAGAUUUCUUCCAGAGAGAGGAUAGAGUUAUUAAGUCUAAAGUCCAUGAUUUGCUUUUCUCCUUCAUGAAAAGUGGCACAUCUCAGAGAUCCAGUCAGCUGGAGUAAACUCUUUCGAUUGUCUGCAAGCAGUCACGUUCCAGUUCUCCUUUAACUUGAUCAGUUGUUGAAAACGCAACAGGGUUAACGGUGGUAGUAGUUUUUA